GACGAACGCUGGCGGUGUGCUUAACACAUGCAAGUGGUGCGACGAACCAGAGCUUGCUCUGGGGCAAAGCCGCGAACGGGUGAGUAACACGUGGGUAAUCUACCCCGAUGACCGGGACAACCCGAGGAAACUCGGGCUAAUACCGGAUGUGGUACGGAGACAUAAGUCUCUUUACUAAAGGUAGCUUCGGCUUCCGCAUUGGGAGGGGCCCGCGGCCCAUUAGCUAGUUGGUGGGUCAAGGCCUACCAAGGCAACGAUGGGUAGCUGGUCUGAGAGGACGAUCAGCCACACUGGGACUGAGACACGGCCCAGACUCCUACGGGAGGCAGCAGUGGGGAAUCUUGCGCAAUGCGCGAAAGCGUGACGCAGCAACACCGCGUGAGGGAG
rnacentral:rRNA from 1 species